rnacentral:lncRNA from 1 species
UUUUCUGUUAUUUUUUGGUUUUGUUUUAUUUUGUUUUUAACAAUAGUCAUCCUGAGAGUAGUACUUUUAAAACCAGAAAUAAGUAAGAAAAGAAAUAUUCCCCAGAGCUUCUCCAGGCUACAGUCUAUGCCACCAGGAAAGACUGAAUCAUUGAGACCCAUAGGAGAGCGUGUGCUGGGAGGUCCCUGUGGGCACCAGGGAGGUGUGUUUGAACUCCAGCCCAGCCCACAUUAGCUUACCCAACAGUCCCUCAGAGCCAGCACAAUUUCAGGCCAUUAUCUCCCUGGUCACCACUGGCUCCUCAGGUGACUUGGAAGUAGAUGACUCCUCUGUGGGCCUGGGUUAGUGCCUCAAAGGCAUGCUGACCAGCACUGGUUUGGGCCAGGCUGAGAUGCUAGCCACACUCCUAUGCCCAUCCCCAAGUUCAAAGGUCAGAAGUCCUCUGAGAACAUCCAGGGUCACUACCCCUGAGGUCUCUGGUGUACUACGUGGCCCUGAUUAGGGCAAAGGGAAGUGAUCUGAGGGCCACUCUCUUCCUGUACAUACAGGGCCUUGCUGCUCUUGAGGGAUUGUCCUGGCAGGAUCAAAAGCAGCUCCUGCAUGGGGACGCCGUGUCCUCCUGCUGUUAUCAUAGUAUGCCCUGUGCUCCCAGGAGGAGGCUGAGGGAGCGAGGGUUUGGUGAGCUGCUGGUUCUGAGAUAAUGGAUUGGUGAUAUGGGAACAAAAGACCUAGGACCUGGAAUCAUAAGAUCACAGGGCAUUAGGGUUGGAGGGAACAACCUUGUCUCUCAGCCCUAAUUCCUUUGAUAUCAUUUAAGGAAUGAUCUUAACUCUAGGCUAACAGCCCUCGAGCUCAGGCACACCAUUUGUUUGUUCAUCAUUGUAUUUGCAGGAUGUGGUAGCUAGCCCUCACAAUGGUGGCUGAUGUGUGAUCAAUAGGCUAUGUCAUGGUAUUUCACUUCUAAGUCUAGAUCAUAAAGGGCAUUGUGGCACCUACCUUGAUUUCUCUUGGAUCACUCAUUCUGAGGGAAGAUAGCUGCCAUGUUGGGAGGACGUGCAAGCAGCCCUGUGAAGAGGUCAACACAGGGGGGAACUGAAGCCCCUUCCAAACAGCUAGCACCAACUUGCCAGCCAUGUAAAGUGAUUCACCUUGGAAACAGAUCCUCCAGCCUCAGCCAAGCCUUCAGAUGCAACCUCAUGACAGACUCUGAACCAGAAACACACAGCCAAGCUGCUGACCCACAGACUUUGUGAGAGAUCAUAAACAUUUACUGUUGUUCUAAGACACUGUUUUAGGGUGCUUUGUUGUACAACAAUAGCUUACUGAAAAUACAGAGAGCCUAGCACAGUGCCUGCAUGUGGUCAUCACUCAAUGGUUGAGCGAGUGAAUCUUGCUUAGUAUUGAACACUCCCACUGACAGCUAACUGUACCAUCUCUCAAAACAAUUCAUUCUAUCUUUGGGCAAUUCUGUUAAAGAUUAUUAGAAUUAAAUUGGAUCUUUCUCAAUACAGCUUCCACAUCUUGGUCUUAUUUUUACUGCUCUUUCAAAAAUCAUUAAACUGGAAUCUUUCUUAACAUAGCUUCUACA